rnacentral:lncRNA from 1 species
GAGCAUUUUUAUUUCCCCAAGAGUGCACACAUUUGUGGGAGGAGGGUCUCAGUUAGAAACAGCGUCCACAUCAGAUGACAACCACUAGCCUCUCUGUUCUGAGGCCCUUGCAGAGCCCAGUUCAUUCUACCUGUCUCCUUUUAUGCUGAGUUCUCAGCAUAUCUCACACACACGCAGCCUGGCCUCCAAAGUUGCCCCACCUACACCAUCUGAAACACCUGAACCCAACAACAGACAGGGUUCAAACAUUUUCUUGGACUUCACCUCAGUGUCAGGGCCAGCCUCAGCACAAACAGCUCCUCGCAGAGACAGGAGCCUUCAACUGCAGAGUCCUGAGUCAGGAGAAGGGCAGCUUCUGCCCAGCUGAGCCAGCAACAGGCAUGUUACCACAAAACUUCCAAUCACUACAGCCAUUUGUUUGAUUCCCUGUAAAGGUGUCAAGCAUUUACGGAU